rnacentral:rRNA from 1 species
GACGAACGCUGGCGGCGUGCUUAACACAUGCAAGUCGAACGGAAAGGCCCUGCUUUUGUGGGGUGCUCGAGUGGCGAACGGGUGAGUAACACGUGAGUAACCUGCCCUUGACUUUGGGAUAACUUCAGGAAACUGGGGCUAAUACCGGAUAGGAGCUCCUGCUGCAUGGUGGGGGUUGGAAAGUUUCGGCGGUUGGGGAUGGACUCGCGGCUUAUCAGCUUGUUGGUGGGGUAGUGGCUUACCAAGGCUUUGACGGGUAGCCGGCCUGGGAGGGUGACCGGCCUCAUUGGGACUGAGAUACGGCCCAGACUCCUACGGGAGCCAGCAGUGGGGGUUAUUGCACAAUGGGCGGAAGCCUGAUGCAGCAACGCCGCGGGCGGGAUGACGGCCUUCGGGUUGUAAUCCGCUUUCGCCUGUGACGAAGCGUGAGUGACGGUAAUGGGUAAAGAAGCACCGGCUAACUACGUG